rnacentral:rRNA from 1 species
AGUGAACGCUGGCGGUAGGCCUAACACAUGCAAGUCGAACGGCAGCACAGUAAGAGCUUGCUCUUACGGGUGGCGAGUGGCGGACGGGUGCGGAAUACAUCGGAAUCUACUUUUUCGUGGGGGAUAACGUGGGGGAACUUACGCUAAUACCGCAUACGACCUACGGGGGAAAGCAGGGGAUCUUCGGCCCUUGCGCGAUUGUAUGAGCCUAUGUCGGAUUAGCUAGUUGGCGGGGUAAAGGCCCACCAAGGCGACGAUCCGUAGCUGGUCUGAGAGGAUGAUCAGCCACACUGGAACUGAGACACGGUCCAGACUCCUACGGGAGGCAGCAGUGGGGAAUAUUGGACAAUGGGCGAAAGCCUGAUCCAGCCAUACCGCGUGGGUGAAGAAGGCCUUCGGGUUGUAAAGCCCUUUUGUUGGGAAAGAAAAGCAGCAGGUUAAUACCCCGCUGUUCUGACGGUACCCAAAGAAUAAGCACCGGCUAACUUCGUG